CACACCCAUUACCAAUGUUCUGUGCCCCCACUCUUCCAACCAUAACAGGCAUAGUUCCCAGAAAGCCUUAAAAAUAGUUUGAUUUUAACUCUCUGAAAUUCUACAAGAACAUCCAAGUUUGGGUGUGGCCAACUGGAACCACAUUUUCCUGCCUGAGGCUCCAACAUCCUAGGUUAUCCUAGAACCACCAUACAGCAGAGCUGAGCAAAAGAAGAGAGGAAGGCAGGAGAGAAGGAAGGAGUCUAUUUCAGAAGCUGUCACGCACUGCUCAUAGUUUUAAUGGUAGUUUAGAGAGUGAACCGGGUUAGUCUAUUUUUUAAUGAUAGAACAACUUAAUUUUGAUUGGGUGCUUUUCAGCUUUACUUUUCUGCUAACAAGCCUCAAAACCUGUUAAUCACUGGAGUCUGAGCUCAGUCCCCACUACAGUGCAGGAAGCAUGUGUGCUGUGGUCCUGUUGCCUCUCUGUCUUUCUGUCUGUCUCCCUCUAUCUAUCAGAAAACAAAUCAGUUCAGAGUGAGGAAGCCUAGUGAGGACAGAAAAAGAAAUGGCAGCCUGCAGGGAGGUUGUGGGGAUGUGGUGGAGCCUGGCAGAACUUGACCUGAGAGGUGAGUUCACCUGGUUCGCUUGUAUUACUUACAAUGUGAAAAGAUGCAUAAAAGGCGAUGUAUCUGAUUAAUAAACAAGAUACUGCUUCCCAGAUCAGCCAUGAGUCCCUGGUCAUCUCUCUACCGCCCGUGAAGCUAACCAAGCCCAGCAUAUGGCGCCUGGAACAGGGACACACAAGCAGCAGACCUAAGAAGACCAGAUAAGUAAAGCUUGGCUACCCAUCCAUCACGGCCUGCCUUUCUACUUAUGAAGAGGUUUCCCAAAGCCUCUACUCUUCCUUCAUGAGACAGUUUCUCUGUCUCUGGAACAUUUUGCUCUGGGCCACAUUUUGGUUCCCUGACCAGGAACUUUGGUUUCUUAUGACCGUGAUCAUAGAGCUUGGGAGAUGCAUGGAGAUUUCCCCUGGGACUUUCUGGACUUCUUCUCGCAUGUUUCCCACCGAGAAGGACUACUCUAACUUGAAAAACAUUAUCCAGUGCCUUGGCAGUCCCAAAGAAUGGAGACACGUGGUUAGUUCUACCCUCCUGAUUCGAUUGUUUCUUCGAUGGGAAGACACUUUUAAUCAUGCAGGAACCGUCAGAAGCACACUAAAUGGAAUUUUGAGGAGCUUUUUGGACUAGGACACCCUCUAGGGACUCAUGAUACUACAUGGUGAGAUCUAAAUAAUCUGGUUCAAGGUGAAAAAAACAAAAACUACCUAGCGCUUUUCUCUCGAUUCCCCCCUCAUUGUUAUCUCUGAAUAUCUUAAGUUUGCUGUCUGCUUUCAGUUGUGUUUCAUAAGAGAGUGAUUUGAAUGACUGAAUUUUUGUAUGACAUUGACUUAAAAAAAAUGCUGGACACAGCCAUGAUUUCUAGAGUCAUCCAGAAACAAUCCAAAAAACUGUUUUUUCCUCUUUUGAUUUUUUUUUAUGUCUUGGUACUAAUGUAAAACAUUUAAUCCUAAAAACUGUAUGAGUAUGGGUGGGGUAGAUAGCACAAUGGUUAUGCUAAUGAUUCUCAUGCUUGAGGCUUCUAACCAUGGUUCUUCUGUUUACCUUCCCACAUUUUAUUGAGUUUGAACUGUUUAAACAGCCUUAAAAUCAUACUAGAAAAGGACUUCCAAUUAUAAUGGAGUUAUCAAUUGUAGUAAACUUCUAAUCUGCUACAAGUUUUGUUUGACAAGUAAGUGAAUUUCAGCCGUCAAGUCUUCACAUGAAAAAGCAUCUGCUCAAAUGGAAUCCCCGGAAAUUCAUUUGGACCCCUGUUCUCUGACAUCAACCACAAGAUGGCAUGACUACAACGCACCCCCUCCAAAACCAAUGAUGUGACCUGGCACGGCCUGAAGAAACUGAUUCACAGACUCCAAAGCUCACUCUCUACAGAAAAGCGGAAUUACAGUGUUUAGCCUUUCCCAUCAAAAGAGACGUGCAGCAUUUCACCCCCUGGCAUUUCUUCUGUGGUCAUCUGCUUUAAACUGACACUUCUAUAGGAUUUACUGGUACACCUCUUGGACACUUUAUACAACUUUACAGCAGCUUCCCUUUACGCUGCUGGGUUUCUUAAAGACUGACAGCAGCAGUCCAUAGACUUUGCAGCCAUAUGCCUUGGGACUCCAUAGGUAACAUCCCCUCAUCUGCAGGCCCUGGCCCCAGAGGCAGGAACCCCUCCUCCUUACUAGGUCCUGCUCACAGAGGCAGGAAAUGCCCUUUGAGGCAUGAAAUGCCCCCAGAGGCAAGAGAUGCCCAUAGAGGCAGAAAACGCCCUCUGAGGCAUGAAGCACCCCCAACGGCAAGAGAUGCCCCCAGAAGCAGGAAACGCCCUUUUGCCUGCUAGGCACUACCCUUUGAGGUAGGAAACACCCCCCUCAGGCCUCUCCUUGGCAUCACACUGAUUCUUGCUGCUCUCUUACCUGUUCCUCCAUGUCUUCUGCCAGUUCUUUUGCAAAUGCCUGUACAAUAUAGGUUUCUCUUCACCCUACAUUCCUGAUACUAUGGCCAUUAGUUAAAAAGAAAGGGGGAAAUGUUGGUAUGCUUCUAAAUUCUGCUUAUAAGACCUUCUGUUUUGAUCAUUAUAUUAGGUUCGCUUGUAUUACUUACAAUGUGAAGAGAUGCAUAAAAGGCGAUGUAUCUGAUUAAUAAAUGAGAUCCUGCUUCCCAGAUCA